rnacentral:rRNA from 1 species
AUUGAACGCUGGCGGCAUGCUUUACACAUGCAAGUCGAACGGUAACAGGCCUUCGGGCGCUGACGAGUGGCGAACGGGUGAGUAAUGCAUCGGAACGUGCCCAGUCGUGGGGGAUAACGCAGCGAAAGCUGUGCUAAUACCGCAUACGAUCUGUGGAUGAAAGCGGGGGACCUUCGGGCCUCGCGCGAUUGGAGCGGCCGAUGUCAGAUUAGGUAGUUGGUGGGGUAAAGGCUCACCAAGCCAACGAUCUGUAGCUGGUCUGAGAGGACGACCAGCCACAGGGGGACUGGGACACGGCCCGGACUCCUACGGGAGGCAGCAGUGGGGAAUUUUGGACAAUGGGCGCAAGCCUGAUCCAGCAAUGCCGCGUGCAGGAAGAAGGCCUUCGGGUUGUAAACUGCUUUUGUACGGAACGAAACGGUCCUGGUUAAUACCCGGGGCUAAUGACGGUACCGUAAGAAUAAGCACCGGCUAACUACGUGCCAGCAGCCGCCGUAACAC